CGCGAAGAACCUUACCAGGUCUUGACAUCUAGUGCCAUUUGUAGAGAUACAAAGUUCCCUUCGGGGACGCUAAGACGGGUGGUGCAUGGCUGUCGUCAGCUCGUGUCGUGAGAUGUUGGGUUAAGUCCCGCAACGAGCGCAACCCUUGUUAUUAGUUGCCAGCAUUAAGUUGGGCACUCUAAUGAGACUGCCGGUGACAAACCGGAGGAAGGUGGGGAUGACGUCAAGUCAUCAUGCCCCUUAUGACCUGGGCUACACACGUGCUACAAUGGGCAGUACAACGAGAAGCGAGCCUGCGAAGGCAAGCGAAUCUCUGAAAGCUGUUCUCAGUUCGGACUGCAGUCUGCAACUCGACUGCACGAAGCUGGAAUCGCUAGUAAUCGCGGAUCAGCACGCCGCGGUGAAUACGUUCCCGGGUCUUGUACACACC
rnacentral:rRNA from 1 species